AGUCGGAAUCCGCCAAGGAGUGUGUAACAACUCACCUGCCGAAUGAAUUAGCCCUGAAAAUGGAUGGCGCUGAAGCGGGCGGCCGACACCUUGCCGUCUGGACAAGAAUUUCAGAUGAGUAGGAGGGCGUGGUGGCCGUGUCGAAGCGCGCGUGCAGACGCGUGUGGAACGGCCACUAGUGCAGAUCUUGGUGGUAGUAGCAAGUAUUCAAGCGAGAUCCUUGAAGGGCGAAGUGGGGAAGGGUUUCACGCGAACAUUGAUUGGGCGUGAGUGAGUCGUUCCUAAGCCGAGUGGCAAUUGCUAAUUAACGGCGAAAGGGAAGCGGGUUGACAUUCCCGCACACGGAUGUGGAGGCGGCGACGCAUUAUUGGGGCGAACACGCUGGCGAUGGCGCUGGGCAGAGUUGUCUUUUCUGUUUGACCGCUUGCGCACGCAGUGUGGAAUCCGCUUGUCGGGAGAAACACGCGUGUACGGGCAGAGCGCUGGGGCUUUUCCAGCGUCCAGCUCGCCAUCGACGGCCCUUGAAACUUUGCCUGCUGGUUUAAGAUCCACGCCGUGGCGUACCGAUCACCGCAUCAGGUCCCCAAGGUGAACAGCCUCUGCUCAAUAUGAAAAAUGCAGGUAAGGGAAGUCGGCAAAUUAGACCCGUAACUUUGGGAAAAGGGUUGGCUCUAGUGCUGCGUGGGAGUGGUUGUCGGAUGCUGGCGUUUUUAGUGUGGCGGCUUGGCGCGGGACCCGCAAGGGAUCUGUUCCGGCUGCUACGCCGAUUGCACCACAGCCGACGACGCCCACAGCAUGCAGCAGACUAGAACUGCAACGGGCAAAGGGAAUCCGACUGUUUAAUUAAAACAAAGCAUUGC
rnacentral:rRNA from 1 species